CCUACGGGUGGCAGCAGUGGGGAAUAUUGGACAAUGGGCGAAAGCCUGAUCCAGCCAUGCCGCGUGUGUGAAGAAGGCCUUCGGGUUGUAAAGCACUUUCAGUGGGGAAGAAAGCCUUGGGGCUAAUACCCUCGAGGAAGGACAUCACCCACAGAAGAAGCACCGGCUAACCCGUGCCAGCAGCCGCGGUAAUACGGAGGGUGCGAGCGUUAAUCGGAAUUACUGGGCGUAAAGCGCGCGUAGGCGGUCUGAUAAGCCGGUUGUGAAAGCCCCGGGCUCAACCUGGGAACGGCAUCCGGAACUGUCAGGCUAGAGUGCAGGAGAGGAAGGUAGAAUUCCCGGUGUAGCGGUGAAAUGCGUAGAGAUCGGGAGGAAUACCAGUGGCGAAGGCGGCCUUCUGGACUGACACUGACGCUGAGGUGCGAAAGCGUGGGUAGCAAACAGGAUUAGAUACCCCGGUAGUC
rnacentral:rRNA from 1 species